rnacentral:rRNA from 1 species
AGCGAACGCUGGCGGCAGGCCUAACACAUGCAAGUCGAACGAACCUUUCGGGGUUAGUGGCGGACGGGUGAGUAACACGUGGGAACGUGCCUUUAGGUUCGGAAUGACUCAGGGAAACUUGUGCUAAUACCGAAUGUGCCCUUCGGGGGAAAGAUUUAUCGCCUUUAGAGCGGCCCGCGUCUGAUUAGCUAGUUGGUUGAGGUAAUGGCUCACCAAGGCGACGAUCAGUAGCUGGUCUGAGAGGAUGAUCAGCCACAUUGGGACUGAGACACGGCCCAAACUCCUACGGGAGGCAGCAGGGGGGAAUCUUGCGCAAUGGGCGAAAGCCUGACGCAGCCAUGCCGGGUGAAUGAUGAAGGUCUGAGGAUUGUAAAAUUCUUUCACCGGGGACGAUAAUGACGGUACCCGGAGAAGAAGCCCCGGCUAACUUCGUG